rnacentral:rRNA from 1 species
GAUGAACGCUGGCGGCGUGCCUAAUACAUGCAAGUCGAGCGAACAGACGAGGAGCUUGCUCCUCUGACGUUAGCGGCGGACGGGUGAGUAACACGUGGAUAACCUACCUAUAAGACUGGGAUAACUUCGGGAAACCGGAGCUAAUACCGGAUAACAUGUUGAACCGCAUGGUUCAACAGUGAAAGACGGUCUUGCUGUCACUUAUAGAUGGAUCCGCGCCGCAUUAGCUAGUUGGUAAGGUAACGGCUUACCAAGGCAACGAUGCGUAGCCGACCUGAGAGGGUGAUCGGCCACACUGGAACUGAGACACGGUCCAGACUCCUACGGGAGGCAGCAGUAGGGAAUCUUCCGCAAUGGGCGAAAGCCUGACGGAGCAACGCCGCGUGAGUAAAGAAGGUCUUCGGAUCGUAAAACUCUGUUAUUAGGGAAGAACAAAUGUGUAAGUAACUAUGCACGUCUUGACGGUACCUAAUCAGAAAGCCACGGCUAACUACGUG